AUGUAGGUGAAGUGAUUUACUCAUGGAGCUGAAAUCAGUCGAAGAUACCAGCUGGCUGCAACUGUUUAUUAAAAACACAGCACUGUGCAAACACGAAAGUGGACGUAUACGGUGUGACGCCUGCCCGGUGCCGGAAGGUUAAUUGAUGGGGUUAUCCGUAAGGAGAAGCUCUUGAUCGAAGCCCCGGUAAACGGCGGCCGUAACUAUAACGGUCCUAAGGUAGCGAAAUUCCUUGUCGGGUAAGUUCCGACCUGCACGAAUGGCGUAAUGAUGGCCAGGCUGUCUCCACCCGAGACUCAGUGAAAUUGAACUCGCUGUGAAGAUGCAGUGUACCCGCGGCAAGACGGAAAGACCCCGUGAACCUUUACUAUAGCUUGACACUGAACACUGGUCCUUGAUGUGUAGGAUAGGUGGGAGGCUUUGAAGUGUGGACGCCAGUCUGCAUGGAGCCAUCCUUGAAAUACCACCCUUUAAUGGCUGGUGUUCUAACGUGGACCCGUUACCCGGGUUGCGGACAGUGUCUGGUGGGUAGUUUGACUGGGGCGGUCUCCUCCUAAAGAGUAACGGAGGAGCACGAAGGUUAGCUAAUCCUGGUCGGACAUCAGGAGGUUAGUGCAAAGGCAUAAGCUAGCUUGACUGCGAGAGUGACGGCUCGAGCAGGUGCGAAAGCAGGUCUUAGUGAUCCGGUGGUUCUGAAUGGAAGGGCCAUCGCUCAACGGAUAAAAGGUACUCCGGGGAUAACAGGCUGAUACCGCCCAAGAGUUCAUAUCGACGGCGGUGUUUGGCACCUCGAUGUCGGCUCAUCACAUCCUGGGGCUGAAGUAGGUCCCAAGGGUAUGGCUGUUCGCCAUUUAAAGUGGUACGCGAGCUGGGUUUAGAACGUCGUGAGACAGUUCGGUCCCUAUCUGCCGUGGGCGCUGGAGAAUUGAGGGGGGCUGCUCCUAGUACGAGAGGACCGGAGUGGACGCAUCACUGGUGUUCGGGUUGUCAUGCCAAUGGCAUUGCCCGGUAGCUAAAUGCGGAAGAGAUAAGUGCUGAAAGCAUCUAAGCACGAAACUUGCCCCG
rnacentral:rRNA from 1 species